AAGGACCUGGGAUAACGGGGAAACUCCUGCCUGGGAGAUCAGGAAUCAUCUCCAGAGCUCAGCAGAGCCACAGAGCUGCCACUGAAGCCAGGACCCGUCAGAUGGGGCAGAUUUAGGUCAGGAACAGAGCAGUGACUCCAAACAGGUUUGGAUCCCUCCCUUUGAUGGCUCUGGCACUUCCCAGGUGAUGGAGAGCUUUCCCAUGGAUUUCUGCUAAGGACAAGAUGAGAACAUUUAAAAGCCUGGUGAGGAAGAGCCCGGCAGCAAUCCCGGAGCUGGCUGGGGAGGAAGGAGCCAGCAGAGCUGGGAGUGAUUGGCAGCACACGGAUCAACAAAGGAGCUCGGAAUCACGAUGCACGG